UGAGGAAUAUUGGUCAAUGGGCGGGAGCCUGAACCAGCCAAGUCGCGUGAGGGAAGACGGUCUUACGGAUUGUAAACCUCUUUUGCCGGGGAGCAAAGGGCGCCACGCGUGGCGUUUCGAGAGUACCCGGAGAAAAGACAUCGGCUAACUCCGUGCCAGCAGCCGCGGUAAUACGGAGGAUGCGAGCGUUAUCCGGAUUUAUUGGGUUUAAAGGGUGCGUAGGCGGGCCGGUAAGUCAGCGGUAAAAUAGCGGGGCUCAACCCCGUCGAGCCGUUGAAACUGCCGGUCUUGAGUGGGCGAGAAGUGCGCGGAAUGCGUGGUGUAGCGGUGAAAUGCAUAGAUAUCACGCAGAACCCCGAUUGCGAAGGCAGCGCACCGGCGCCCGACUGACGCUGAAGCACGAAAGCGUGGGGAUCGAACAGGAUUAGAUACC
rnacentral:rRNA from 1 species